GGCUUGUGGUUUAGUGGUAUAAUUUUCCCUUAGCAUGUGAUCUCUAUAUCACCAAGCGUGGGAAAGGUCCUGGGUUCGAGUGUGUAACCCACCGCAGACG